GAUGCUCACUAACAUCAGACGAUUCCUUAGCAGAAUGUUAACCGAAAAUGAUGUUAAAUUCGCCGUUAACUUUGAUCUGGUGGAGGUGGUGGUGGUUACACAGGUUACAGGAUUUUAAAUAUUCAAGGUACAGUGGACUCCCACACUUAUACCUCCUCUUGUCGAUCAAGCGCUCAUUUAUAUCUUCAGUCAGAAUAUUCACUCCCAGUCGAGACUUCGACUUAAACUUCGACUUCGAGUCGCACGUUGUACGCAACGAUCAUCAGCAGAUCGUUCCAUACCUUUCUCGAAUUCUCUGGCGGCUCUGCGGCUCGUUACAGUAUUAUGACAAGCUGCUCUAAAAUAUAAAGGGUUCAGUAGGGAUUUUCUACAGCCACUGUCACAAGAAGAUUAAGGAUGAAUGAAUACCAAGUACAGCCAGAGUCAUUAAGAGUAUAUUAAGCUUUAUUCACAUAAGAUUGGUGCAAUGGUAUUGAAUUUGCACUAGUAGAAGUAAUUUCUAAAGUUUUCGCAGUAGACGGUAUGUUAUUAUACAGGCAUGUGCCAAAGGUAAUUUUAGGUCUUGUAAAGAAAUAACAUUAAAUAAACAUUUACGGACACGGUGCCUAACGCGCUUGUGUGAAAUACAACAGUUGUAUUGGAUGUUAGAAGACCGUAGCGUGUAGCGUAAAAGUUAAAAAGUAGCUAGCUAGGUUCCGAACUAUGAGUACCACACCAAUCCGUUGUCUCGAUUGUGAACGCUUCAGCGAAGAAUCACUAGUAACAUCAAAUUUUUCUGCACUACACACAUAAAUACACUUCAACUACUACAACUUUUA